rnacentral:rRNA from 1 species
AUGAACGCUGGCGGCAUGCCUAACACAUGCAAGUCGAACGAGACCUUCGGGUCUAGUGGCGCACGGGUGCGUAACGCGUGGGAAUCUGCCCUUGGGUCCGGAAUAACAGUUAGAAAUGACUGCUAAUACCGGAUGAUGACGUAAGUCCAAAGAUUUAUCGCCCAGGGAUGAGCCCGCGUAAGAUUAGGUAGUUGGUGGGGUAAAGGCCUACCAAGCCGACGAUCUUUAGCUGGUCUGAGAGGAUGAUCAGCCACACUGGGACUGAGACACGGCCCAGACUCCUACGGGAGGCAGCAGUGGGGAAUAUUGGACAAUGGGCGAAAGCCUGAUCCAGCAAUGCCGCGUGAGUGAUGAAGGCCUUAGGGUUGUAAAGCUCUUUUACCCGGGAAGAUAAUGACUGUACCGGGAGAAUAAGCCCCGGCUAACUCCGUGCCAGCCGCCGCGGUAAU